rnacentral:hammerhead_ribozyme from 1 species
AUCCAAAUGACAAGUUCGAAAUAAGACGAAACGUGCGUCCUGCAU